CAUUAAAUAGUUUAAAAAAAAUAUUAAUUUUGGAGAUUAGAGAUAUUAAUUUAGUUAAUUUUUUUGA
rnacentral:tRNA from 1 species